GACGAACGCUGGCGGCGUGCUUAACACAUGCAAGUCGAACGGAAAGGCCCUGCUUUUGUGGGGUGCUCGAGUGGCGAACGGGUGAGUAACACGUGAGUAACCUGCCCUUGACUUUGGGAUAACUUCAGGAAACUGGGGCUAAUACCGGAUAGGAGCUCCUGCUGCAUGGUGGGGGUUGGAAAGUUUCGGCGGUUGGGGAUGGACUCGCGGCUUAUCAGCUUGUUGGUGGGGUAGUGGCUUACCAAGGCUUUGACGGGUAGCCGGCCUGAGAGGGUGACCGGCCACAUUGGGACUGAGAUACGGCCCAGACUCCUACGGGAGGCAGCAGUGGGGAAUAUUGCACAAUGGGCGGAAGCCUGAUGCAGCAACGCCGCGUGCGGGAUGACGGCCUUCGGGUUGUAAACCGCUUUCGCCUGUGACGAAGCGUGAGUGACGGUAAUGGGUAAAGAAGCACCGGCUAACUACGUGCCAGCAGCCGCGGUGAUACGUAGGGUGCGAGCGUUGUCCGGAUUUAUUGGGCGUAAAGGGCUCGUAGGUGGUUGAUCGCGUCGGAAGUGUAAUCUUGGGGCUUAACCCUGAGCGUGCUUUCGAUACGGGUUGACUUGAGGAAGGUAGGGGAGAAUGGAAUUCCUGGUGGAGCGGUGGAAUGCGCAGAUAUCAGGAGGAACACCAGUGGCGAAGGCGGUCCUCUGGGCCUUUCCUGACGCUGAGGAGCGAAAGCGUGGGGAGCGAACAGGCUUAGAUACCCUGGUAGUCCACGCUGUAAACGGUGGGUACUAGGUGUGGGGUCCAUUCCACGGGUUCCGUGCCGUAGCUAACGCUUUAAGUACCCCGCCUGGGGAGUACGGCCGCAAGGCUAAAACUCAAAGGAAUUGACGGGGCCCCGCACAAGCGGCGGAGCAUGCGGAUUAAUUCGAUGCAACGCGUAGAACCUUACCUGGGUUUGACAUGGAUCGGGAGCGCUCAGAGAUGGGUGUGCCUCUUUUGGGGUCGGUUCACAGGUGGUGCAUGGCUGUCGUCAGCUCGUGUCGUGAGAUGUUGGGUUAAGUCCCGCAACGAGCGCAACCCUUGUUCACUGUUGCCAGCACGUUAUGGUGGGGACUCAGUGGAGACCGCCGGGGUCAACUCGGAGGAAGGUGGGGAUGACGUCAAGUCAUCAUGCCCCUUAUGUCCAGGGCUUCACGCAUGCUACAAUGGCUGGUACAGAGAGUGGCGAGCCUGUGAGGGUGAGCGAAUCUCGGAAAGCCGGUCUCAGUUCGGAUUGGGGUCUGCAACUCGACCUCAUGAAGUCGGAGUCGCUAGUAAUCGCAGAUCAGCAACGCUGCGGUGAAUACGUUCCCGGGGCU
rnacentral:rRNA from 1 species